UACAGAGGUCCCAAGCGUUGUUCGGAUUCACUGGGCGUAAAGGGUGCGUAGGCGGUCGGGUAAGUCUGAUGUGAAAUCUCACAGCUUAACUGUGAAACUGCAUUGGAUACUAUCCGGCUCGAGGAAUGGAGGGGAGACUGGAAUACUUGGUGUAGCAGUGAAAUGCGUAGAUAUCAAGUGGAACACCAGUGGCGAAGGCGAGUCUCUGGACAUUUCCUGACGCUGAGGCACGAAAGCCAGGGGAGCAACCGGG
rnacentral:rRNA from 1 species